rnacentral:rRNA from 1 species
GAUGAACGCUGGCGGCGUGCCUAAUACAUGCAAGUCGAGCGAACGGACGAGAAGCUUGCUUCUCUGAUGUUAGCGGCGGACGGGUGAGUAACACGUGGAUAACCUACCUAUAAGACUGGGAUAACUUCGGGAAACCGGAGCUAAUACCGGAUAAUAUUUUGAACCGCAUGGUUCAAAAGUGAAAGACGGUCUUGCUGUCACUUAUAGAUGGAUCCGCGCUGCAUUAGCUAGUUGGUAAGGUAACGGCUUACCAAGGCAACGAUGCAUAGCCGACCUGAGAGGGUGAACGGCCACACUGGAACUGAAACACGGUCCAGACUCCUACGGGAGGCAGCAGUAGGGAAUCUUCCGCAAUGGGCGAAAGCCUGACGGAGCAACGCCGCGUGAGUGAUGAAGGUCUUCGGAUCGUAAAACUCUGUUAUUAGGGAAGAACAUAUGUGUAAGUAACUGUGCACAUCUUGACGGUACCUAAUCAGAAAGCCACGGCUAACUACGUG